UUUCAAGUCUGCCAUCACGCCCCAUCGC
rnacentral:piRNA from 1 species